rnacentral:tRNA from 1 species
GAAAUAUACAAAAUAAGCUUCUAACUUAUAACCUAGCGCAUAACGUUUAUAUUUCU